rnacentral:rRNA from 1 species
AACGAACGCUGGCGGCAGGCCUAACACAUGCAAGUCGAGCGAAGUCUUCGGACUUAGCGGCGGACGGGUGAGUAACGCGUGGGAACGUGCCCCUUGGUACGGAAUAGCCCCGGGAAACUGGGAGUAAUACCGUAUGAGCUCUACGGAGGAAAGAUUUAUCGCCAAGGGAUCGGCCCGCGUUGGAUUAGGUAGUUGGUGGGGUAAUGGCCUACCAAGCCGACGAUCCAUAGCUGGUUUGAGAGGAUGAUCAGCCACACUGGGACUGAGACACGGCCCAGACUCCUACGGGAGGCAGCAGUGGGGAAUCUUAGACAAUGGGCGCAAGCCUGAUCUAGCCAUGCCGCGUGAGCGAUGAAGGCCUUAGGGUUGUAAAGCUCUUUCAGCUGGGAAGAUAAUGACUGUACCAGCAGAAGAAGCCCCGGCUAACUCCGUGCCAGCCGCCGCAGUAAAAC